UACAGAGGUCCCGAGCGUUGUUCGGAUUCAUUGGGCGUAAAGGGUGCGUAGGCGGUUUUUAAGUUUGAUGUGAAAUCCCGGGGCUCAACCCUGGAAUUGCAUUGAAUACUGAAGAACUAGAGAUCUGGAGAGGAAACUGGAAUUUACGGUGUAGCAGUGAAAUGCGUAGAUAUCAGGAGGAAUACCGAUGGCGAAGGCAGGUCUCUGGGCUGACACUGACGCUCAUGCACGAAAGCGUGGGGAGCAAACAGG
rnacentral:rRNA from 1 species